GGGCUUAUAGCUCAGUUGGCAGAGCAUUCGGCUGAUAACCGAAAGGUCGGUGGUUCGACUCCACCUAAGCCCA
rnacentral:tRNA from 1 species